GCAACAUAUUGGUGACCAGGAGAGAAGUGCAGAUUCUGUUGCCCGCACUACUGUGAGCCCUCCAAGGUCAGAAGAUGUUGGCCAGGAUGGCGUGAAAUCCCCAAGCUUAAGCUCCAGGAGCUACCUGAAGAGUGCAAGCAUUAGUGCCUCCAAGUGUGUCGUUGUCUCAAAUAAACACCCAGAGGUAAAUGCUGAACUACCUGAAUUCUUCUGGUGGCAAGUAGGCAAGAUGACACACUUGUGCACUGUCAAUAUCUUUUUUUCCGAUGGAUUUCACACUGUCAAUAUCAAGAAAGGAUGCGUGAACAGAACAUGUUCGAUUGAUUUGUUGCAUGCAAGUUGUCCCUUCUUUUGUUCACUUUAGAGAUUAGGUAGUGCCUCCACCACUGAUGUUUGGUUUCUCUGUUAGGAUGAUGAAAUCCCUGAGGAAAU
rnacentral:lncRNA from 1 species